UUCUUUGCUGACGAGUGGCGGACGGGUGAGUAAUGUCUGGGAAACUGCCUGAUGGAGGGGGAUAACUACUGGAAACGGUAGCUAAUACCGCAUAACGUCGCAAGACCAAAGAGGGGGACCUUCGGGCCUCUUGCCAUCGGAUGUGCCCAGAUGGGAUUAGCUAGUAGGUGGGGUAACGGCUCACCUAGGCGACGAUCCCUAGCUGGUCUGAGAGGAUGACCAGCCACACUGGAACUGAGACACGGUCCAGACUCCUACGGGAGGCAGCAGUGGGGAAUAUUGCACAAUGGGCGCAAGCCUGAUGCAGCCAUGCCGCGUGUAUGAAGAAGGCCUUCGGGUUGUAAAGUACUUUCAGCGGGGAGGAAGGGAGUAAAGUUAAUACCUUUGCUCAUUGACGUUACCCGCAGAAGAAGCACCGGCUAACUCCGUGCCAGCAGCCGCGGUAAUACGGAGGGUGCAAGCGUUAAUC
rnacentral:rRNA from 1 species